CUUUGACAGAUUUGUUGAAAAUCGCCUGCUUUUGUGUCAUUACAGGAUUAUGAGCAAUGUUAAUUCUCCUUUAUAAAAUAAGUUUGUGUUUUGUAGAUCUUCGAGAUCCACAAUUGUUGUUUCAAAGAUUUUCGUCUGUAGUUUUCGAGAAGCCGUUUCUUUUGAGGGUUGCGAAAUUUCCUUUCCUCCUUGCCUUGCUUAGCCGUGGUUUAGCUUGGUGGAGGAGUUGUGUCUGAGGGUCUAAUUAUUGUUAUUUAAAAUAUUUUUUUUAUAUAAAUAUAUGGAAUAAUUCGUUGUUAAUUUUUGCUACAUAGGGUAGAUGCGCCUAAGUUCGGCAUGUCCCAGUAGUCGCCAGUUCUGAAAUUUAAACUUAAAUAACUAAGAAUUGUAUUGACCAAAUAAUGAAAUAAUUGCAAAAAAACGUCAACAGUGUUCUCUGCCCUCUUUCUGUAAAAAAAACAAUGAGGUCCGAUUAUUUAUUGCGAGAGAAUAACGGUUUUCGUCUGUGAGUGUCUCCUAACGCGUGCGAUAGUGCUUGUUUGUAAAGAAAAAAUUAGUGGUGGCGUCAACUUAAUAAUCAAUUUAAGUAAAUUAAAUUUAAUACUUUUGGAAUCAAAAAUAUUUUAUAAUAGUAAAUAACAGUCUGAAGAUAAUUUUAUAACUUAAAAACAUACAAAUCAAGAUUUUUUUCUGUUAUAUUAUUUAAUGCCGACAUUAGGAACAGAAAAAAAGAGAUUUGCCAAUAGUCGGCAGGGGAUGCCGAUUACUAGAAAAAUAUCAUUUUGACCAAUUUCGCCCAAACUUGAGAAAAGUAUUAAAAAAUAAUCCAAAUACUACUAAAAUAAAAUAGUAAUAGUGUUGAAUCGGCAGUUGCUUUUAUUUGUGUUUUUUUGAUCCACUUUUCUAAAUUAAGUAGGUUUUUUUUUUAAAUCAGCUAUUUGAUGUUUUAGAUGGCGGUGGUAUUUUUGAAAAAAAUGGUUGGCUAUCUAAAGGAAAAAGAUCAAUUCACAAAUUUCAAAUAUAAGAAAGCCAAAAUACAAGGAUAUCUAUCAGUCCCGGGUAACUCGAUGAACUUUGCCUUCCUAUCCUCUCUCAACGAGUCCACAAACAUGUUAUAUUGGAACUGAUCGCAUAGAAACCACAACAUUUAUUUUAAUCCUUAAAGUAUAAAAAUAUUUAUAUCGCCAUGGCCGCUAUAACUUUAUUUAUUUCUUUUUAAUUUACAGAUUUUCAAUAAAAAAAACAGAUAGAUCCUCUCUAUAGCUUGACAAGAAUACAGUAUUGAUCUGAUGCCCGAUUACGAAUACAUUGUCUUUCAGUUACAAAACUUAUAAUGAAUCAAUGCAUGCAUCCAAACAUUGCAAGCACAAUCUGAAAACAGAAUUUUGAAUUUAUUCAAGUAAACCAGUUGCAACCGCAACCUAAGGUAAAAAAACCCCUAUCCUAUGACAGUUUCAGACCUAUAACUAGUGUAUAUAGAACCUGAAAUAAAUAUAACUAAAAUGCGAAUAAUAGAGAAGCAUGCCGAUAAUGCUGUUAGCAGGCUUUUACAACAUUAUUUUUCAGUCCUUUAAUUUUAAGUUUCAAUUGUCAUGUCAAGUUUAAAACAUAGAUUCUCUAAAUAUAUACGUAAACAACAAA